rnacentral:rRNA from 1 species
UACGUAGGGUGCAAGCGUUGUCCGGAAUUAUUGGGCGUAAAGAGCUCGUAGGCGGUUUGUCGCGUUGUUCGUGAAAACCGGGGGCUUAACCCUCGGCGUGCGGGCGAUACGGGCAGACUGGAGUACUGCAGGGGAGACUGGAAUUCCUGGUGUAGCGGUGGAAUGCGCAGAUAUCAGGAGGAACACCCGUGGCGAAGGCGGCUCUCUGGGACGGUACUGACGCUGAGACGCGAAAGCGUGGGAGCGAACAGG